rfam:Ovis aries breed Texel chromosome 17, whole genome shotgun sequence.
UCCCAGGUGGCUCAGAUGGUAAAGAAUCCGCCUGUGAUGCGGGAGGCCUGGGUUUGAUCCUUAGGCUGGGAA